UACGUAGGGGGCAAGCGUUGUCCGGAAUCAUUGGGCGUAAAGAGCGUGUAGGUGGCUCGGUAAGUCCGCUGUGAAAGUCCAGGGCUCAACCCUGGAAAGCCGGUGGAAACUGUCGAGCUCGAGUCCGGAAGAGGCGAGUGGAAUUCCUGGUGUAGCGGUGAAAUGCGCAGAUAUCAGGAGGAACACCAAUGGCGAAGGCAGGUCUCUGGGCAUUAACUGACGCUGAGGAGCGAAAGCAUGGGGAGCGAACAGG
rnacentral:rRNA from 1 species